UACGUAGGGUGCGAGCGUUAAUCGGAAUUACUGGGCGUAAAGCGUGCGCAGGCGGUUUUGUAAGCCAGAUGUGAAAUCCCCGGGCUUACCUGGGAAUGGCAUUUGGGACUGCAAGGCUGGAGUGCGGCAGAGGAGACUGGAAUUCCUGGUGUAGCAGUGAAAUGCGUAGAUAUCAGGAGGAAUACCGAUGGCGAAGGCAGGUCUCUGGGCUGACACUGACGCUCAUGCACGAAAGCGUGGGGAG
rnacentral:rRNA from 1 species